GCAUACAAUUUUGCUGCUAUCAUGAUUGAAUUUUUGCAGGCGUAACUCUCAACGCAUCGCUGCUUGUCGACAGAUGCAACGCUGGCCUUUUCAACUUCGGGGGUCACUCGUCAUUCUCCAAGGGAGUGUCAAAAAGACCCGUAUUCACUGGAUCCAAAACUCUUUUAAGAAAUACACAACGAUGGCAGUUGCAAGUAGCCUUGGUCUGUCAUCCCAAAAAACGAAAAUGACUGAUUACCCUUGUUGUCGUCUAUAGUUCACAAACGCCACGAAUAAAACAUAUGCAAAUGAGAUGCAAAUCUGCUAGCUUUGAACUGCCCCUAUCUGCAGACAAGCAACAAUCAGUAUGCAAAAAGUGGUGGUGGUUCAGCCAGUAACAAAAGCAGUGUUUUUCUGGAAACAUUUCCUGCGCACAUCUACUUGAACCUCAGUGGGCCCUGGGAGACGCGACAAAGAGGUCGCAGCAAGGAAAUGAUUUCUACGCGGACGCCCGAGGAGAGUGGCAAAUCUCCCAGUUCACAGCACCCGCGACGCGACCAGAGGGCCGCGAACAGCAUCAGUUCGUUCGCUGAAAGACACCGCCGAGAUAAGAUGACGCCUGGCCAGCAAUGUACAUGUACGAGAGACGUGUCUCUCGGCAAAUCGACUCGUGAUAGAAGUGAUAUCGCGAUCGCAGCGGGGUGUCAGGAACCGAUGGAAAGAAUGACUCCUUGGGAAAAAACUAUGCCACAGCAAAUUGCGAACUGCUUCAAGUCUGAAAAGUGCAAGCCUCACCGUUAUGCCAGCCUAUCUAGUCACGAUUUUACAAGAUGGCAAGACUACUUUGCAGUGCUUUAAUGUUUGAGAGGAGGAAAGGAUUUUUGUCAAAUAAGGAGUGAUGACAAGGUCAGUCUUGCGAGAAAGUAGGCCUAAACUUCACAAAUGGAAACACGACUACUUUACUCCCAAGACAGUAAGAUAACGGCGCCCCGUCAGAGAUCACUCAACAACAGAGAGCAGAUUCCACAGAGUAGUUUUUGUUUCCACUUACCGAA